CUAAAAGCUGACAUGACCACCAAAUAUGAAGUGAGUUUAUCUGUAUUCUUUGGGGGAAAAGAUCAAGGUGAGGGCAUGUGUCUCAGUUUGUUCCUGUUGUUGAAAGUUGAGAGUCUGGGGAUAUUGUAAGCAAUGGAUAACUUACCUUUAUCCUCAAAUCAUCACAGUGUUCCUAGGAGUAACACAUUAUAAACACUGCAUAUGUAUUCACAUAGGAAUCUGAUCCGUAGCGCGAAGCAAACUUGUGGGAAAUGUUUAAAUGCCUAACAGUUAAUCAGGUCGUUUUCUUGGAUUUUAUUUACCAGUGUACUACUGCGGGAAGGAAGGCAUUUGUGUUUUCUUAGAGCAGAAAGUACCGAAAUGACCAUAAGAUUUCCUGUUUGAACCAAGAAUGGAGGAGAGUUGUGAGCCCUCUGCUUCCUGAGUGGCCACAUUCCAGAUGUGCAGACUAGUCAUAGCACAUCUGCCAAUCAGGAAGGGCCCUGUAGGGAAGCCCUUGGAUGCUGAGGCUUGUUUACGUGCUCACUCGUGACUCUGUUUCUCCCUCCUCCUGUGUGCUGUGCCACUGGGAAGAUUAGUGAGGGAGCAUGCUAGCACAUGCCCAGAUAAACAAACUGCCUGAAACCAGGAUCCACCACUGGAGCAGCCACAUCUGGGGCAGAGUUUCAGCUCAUUGCUAGCCACAGAUCACAACGAGCGACGUAAGCCAGAGCAUCGUUCUUCAAGCCAAGGACCGUUGUCAUCCAUUAGAGCGGUAAUCAAGAGAUGUAAGUCUGUUUUCUUCUGCUCUAUAUUUUCCUCUGUAGUCAUUACAAAUGAUGGUUUAGGUUCCCAGCAAGUGAUUGUAGAUGAUGAAUCUACAAAGGCCCCAAAAAGUAUAGCUUCUCCUAAGAGGCAAUAACACAUUUUUGACAGCUAGUUUUUCAUUUGUCAUUGAAUGAUAAGCCAGUAUCUCAGAAUUCUACUUUUCCCUCAUAGAAUCAAGUAAUUUAAAACAAAAUCUGGAACUGGUUAUGGUGGCCAUUCCUAUAGUCCUAGCACUUCGGAGGUGGAAACUAGAGGAUCCAGAGUUCAUACUUAUUCUUGGUCACAUGAGGCCAGCCUGGGCUACAUGAGACCCUGCCUCAAAAAACAAAACCAAAAACCUAAAUCUGGUAAUGUAAUAUCAAUGAGCAGACAGAAUUUUGUGUAACAGUUUUUCUAACAUAUGAGAUAUCUAUCUUCUGGGUUUAAAAAGUA
rnacentral:lncRNA from 1 species